rnacentral:rRNA from 1 species
GAUGAACGCUGGCGGCGUGCCUAAUACAUGCAAGUCGAGCGAAUGGAUUAAGAGCCUGCUCUUAUGAAGUUAGCGGCGGACGGGUGAGUAACACGUGGGUAACCUGCCCAUAAGACUGGGAUAACUCCGGGAAACCGGGGCUAAUACCGGAUAACAUUUUGAACCGCAUGGUUCGAAAUUGAAAGGCGGCUUCGGCUGUCACUUAUGGAUGGACCCGCGUCGCAUUAGCUAGUUGGUGAGGUAACGGCUCACCAAGGCAACGAUGAGUAGCCGGCCUGAGAGGGGGAUCGGCCACACUGGGACUGAGACACGGCCCAGACUCCUACGGGAGGCAGCAGUAGGGAAUCUUCCGCAAUGGACGAAAGUCUGACGGAGCAACGCCGCGUGAGUGAUGAAGGCUUUCGGGUCGUAAAACUCUGUUGUUAGGGAAGAACAAGUGCUAGUUGAAUAAGCUGGCACCUUGACGGUACCUAACCAGAAAGCCACGGCUAACUACGUGCCAGCCGCCGCCGUAA